rnacentral:ribozyme from 1 species
AGGUCACAAGUUUGAAGCCAUAGCAGCAGCGUUCAUGGUGUAGCCAUGUCAGGUUCCAAUGAAUCUGUGAAUUCUGCU